rnacentral:rRNA from 1 species
UACGUAGGGUGCAAGCGUUAAUCGGAAUUACUGGGCGUAAAGCGUGCGCAGGCGGUGAUGUAAGACAGAUGUGAAAUCCCCGGGCUCAACCUGGGAACUGCAUUUGUGACUGCAUGGCUGGAGUGCGGCAGAGGGGGGGAUGGAAUUCCGCGUGUAGCAGUGAAAUGCGUAGAUAUGCGGAGGAACACCGAUGGCGAAGGCAAUCCCCUGGGCCUGCACUGACGCUCAUGCACGAAAGCGUGGGGAGCGAAACAAGGAUUGAGAAACCCAGUAACGUCCAGACCCAAGUCCAUCUCGCUACCG